rnacentral:rRNA from 1 species
GACGAACGCUGGCGGCGUGCUUAACACAUGCAAGUCGAACGGAAAGGCCCUGUUUUUGUGGGGUGCUCGAGUGGCGAACGGGUGAGUAUCACGUGAGUAACCUGCCCUUGACUUUGGGAUAACUUCUGGAAACUGGGGCUAAUACCGGAUAGGAGCUCCUGCUGCACGGUGGGGGUUGGAAAGUUUCGGCGGUUGGGGAUGGACGCGCGGCUUAUCAGCUUGUUGGUGGGGUAGUGGCUUACCAAGGCUUUGACGGGUAGCCGGCCUGAGAGGGUGACCGGCCACAUUGGGACUGAGAUGCGGCCCAGACUCCUACGGGAGGCAGCAGUGGGGAAUAUUGCACGAUGGGCGGAAGCAUGAUGCAGCAACGCCGCGUGCGGGAUGACGGCCUUCGGGUUGGAAACCGCUUUCGCCUGUGACGAAGCGUGAGUGACGGUAAUGGGUAAAGAAGCACCGGCUAACUACGUG